rnacentral:rRNA from 1 species
GUCCAGACUCCUACGGGAGGCAGCAGUGAGGAAUAUUGGUCAAUGGGCGGGAGCCUGAACCAGCCAUGCCGCGUGAAGGCGAGUGCCCUACGGGCGUUAAACUUCUUUUGUGCGGGAGCAAUAAGGGCCACGUGUGGCCCGAUGAGAGUACCGCACGAAUAAGCAUCGGCUAACUCCGUGCCAGCAGCCGCGGUAAUACGGAGGAUGCGAGCGUUAUCCGGAUUUAUUGGGUUUAAAGGGUGCGUAGGCGGAAUGCCAAGUCAGCGGGAAAAUCGCGGGGCUCAACCUCGGCGAGCCGUUGAAACUGGCGGGCUGGAGUUGGAGAGAAGUACGCGGAAUGCGCGGUGUAGCGGUGAAAUGCUUAGAUAUCGCGCAGAACCCCGAUUGCGAAGGCAGCGUACCGGCUCCACACUGACGCUGAGGCACGAAAGCGUGGGUAUCGAACAGGAUUAGAUACCCCAGUAU